rnacentral:RNase_P_RNA from 1 species
CCGGUGGGUCGGGUGAUCGAUCCGUUCGCCCUAGGGCGGGCGGGUAGGAAAGUCCGAACUGGAAAGGGCACGGUGGUCGGUAACGCCGACCGGGCGACCCGUCGCUUCGCGCAGCGGGGAAGCCCAGGGAAAGUGCCACAGAAACGACACCGCCAAUGGCCCGCUUCGGCGGGCACAGGUAAGGGUGAAAUGGUGCGGCAAGAGCGCACCGCGCGGGUGGUGACAUCCGCGGCAGGGUAAACCCCACCGCCAGCAAGCCCAUGUAGGCGGCCAGCCUCGCCCUCGGGCGAGCGCGAUGUGGCCCGCAUCGUUCGAGCCGCGGGUAGGGUGCUCGAGCCGUCGAGCAAUCGUCGGCCCAGAUGAAUGAUCGCCCUCCGCCUAUUCGGCGGAGACAGAAUUCGGCUUACAGACCCGCCGGGCCG